rnacentral:rRNA from 1 species
UACGGAGGGGGCGAGCGUUAUUCGGAAUUAUUGGGCGUAAAGGGCGCGUAGGCGGCCGGAUAAGUCAAAGGUGAAAUCCCUCGGCUCAACUGAGGAACUGCCUUUGAAACUGUUUGGCUCGAGUCCGGGAGGGGGUAGCGGAAUUCCCAGUGUAGCGGUGAAAUGCGUAGAUAUUGGGAGGAACACCAGUGGCGAAGGCGGCUCACUGGUCCGGUACUGACGCUGAGGUGCGAAAGCGUGGGGAGCAAACAGG